rnacentral:rRNA from 1 species
ACAGGUUUCGCUGGUACAGCGGAAGGGAUCAUUACCGAGUUGCAAAACUCCCAAACCCACUGUGAACCUAUCCAUCUGUUGCGUUCGGCGGAUACGCCCCGGGCGCACCCCCUCCAGGGGGUUGUGCCCCGGAACCAGGCGCCCGCCGGGGGACCGAAACCUCUGUAUUUACCGUUUGAGUACUCUGAGUGUGAUUUACAAAAUCAAAAUUAAAACUUUUCAACAACGGAUCUCUUGGCUCUAGCAUCGAUGAAGAACGCAGCGAAAUGCGAUAAGUAAUGCGAAUUGCAGAAUUCAGUGAAUCAUCGAAUCUUUGAACGCACAUUGCGCCCGCCAGUAUUCUGGCGGGCAUGCCUGUCUGAGCGUCGUUUCGACCCUCGCGCCCGGCUUCUGUCGGGGGCGGUGUUGGGGAUCGGCCACACCCACUCCGGUGGGAGGCCGGCCCCUAAAUCCAGUGGCGACCACGCUGUAGCCUCCCCUGCGUAGUACUAAAACCACCUCGCAGGCGGAGAGCGGUGCGGCCCGCCGUAAAACCCCCCAACUUUUACAAGGUCGACCUCAGAUCAGGUAGGAAUACCCGCUGAACUUAAGCAUAUCAAUAAGCGGAGGAAAAGAAACCAACAGGGAUUGCCUCAGUAACGGCGAGUGAAGCGGCAACAGCUCAAAUUUGAAAUCUGGCCCCAGGCCCGAGUUGUAAUUUGCAGAGGAUGUUUCUGGCGAGGUGCCUUCCGAGUUCCCUGGAACGGGACGCCAUAGAGGGUGAGAGCCCCGUACGGUUGGUCGCUAAGCCUCUGUGAAACUCCUUCGACGAGUCGAGUAGUUUGGGAAUGCUGCUCUAAAUGGGAGGUGUACGCCUUCUCAAGCUAAAUACCGGCUAGAGACCGAUAGCGCACAAGUAGAGUGAUCGAAAGAUGAAAAGCACUUUGAAAAGAGGGUUUAAAUAGUACGUGAAAUUGUUGAAAGGGAAGCGCUCUUGACCAAGACUUGCGCCGGUUGAUCAUCCACCGUUCUCGGUGGUGCACUCUGCCGGCUCAGGCCAGCAUCAGUUUCGGCCCGGGGGAUAAAGGCUUCGGGAAUGUGGCUCUCUCCAGGGAGUGUUAUAGCCCGUUGCGUAAUACCCUGGGCCGGACUGAGGUUCGCGCAUCUGCAUGAUGCUGGCGAAUAGCAUAAGGACCC